rnacentral:sRNA from 1 species
UGGAGCCGUUGCUUAUAAAUUUCGUUUCUUCGAUAUCAAUCAAAAACCAAAAAAAAAAACAUCUUUCAUCUUUGUCUCCUUCUUUCCUUUUGAAGACCUGCAAAUAUUUCUCGUCUCGAUCAAAGCUUUGCGACAGAUCACAGAUGUGCUUUCGAUCUCUCGUGACAACAUCUUCUAUCAAUCGAGUUCAAGUUAUGUCUCCCUUAUUUCACACGAUCCAAGAUCUUGCCACCGAAACGCUUUCACCGGAGGAUUCUUCGACGGCGAUCACGGAGAAGGAUGCGAGGAAGACGAUGGCGAAGAGACUGAUGGUGAAAUUGACGAUCAGUUAGCAGAUUCGUUGUUUGAUGGUUUUAGAGUACGAGUCGCCUCCGGAGGAAGAAGACGAAUUUGUGUUUCAUCGAUCAUCAUCACCACAACCCUAGGGUUUGAUCAAGAGUGAUCCAACUAUGGUGACAAGUGGGUGAUUUAAGGCAUAUGUAGAGUCAAACCUAUGUGGUUCUGAUUUGGGGUGGAAAAGCGUAAAUGUCCGGAGAAGUGAGGAGAUAGUAGAAGCUCUUGGAGACUAAAGAGAGGGAACGGUAGUAACUUUUCGACAUUCGGGGUAGGCAUUUUAGAAUGAGUUAAUUUGGAAGUAAUGAAAACGAUGGAGAUGACGGAGAUAUCAUAGUUUCCUUUUUCUGCUGCGGUUCUACUUUGGCGUCCAUAGCAACGAG